AGAUUGAACGCUGGCGGCAUGCCUAACACAUGCAAGUCGAACGGGAGUAGCAAUACUCUAGUGGCGGACGGGUGAGGAAUACGUAGGAAUUUGCCCUUAAGUGGGGGAUAACCCGGGGAAACCCGGAUUAAUACCGCAUGACCUCGAAAGAGCAAAGUGGGGGAUCGCAAGACCUCACGCUUUUGGAGAAGCCUACGUCGGAUUAGCUAGUUGGUGAGGUAAUGGCUCACCAAGGCGACGAUCCGUAACUGGUCUGAGAGGAUGAUCAGUCACACCGGAACUGAGACACGGUCCGGACUCCUACGGGAGGCAGCAGUGGGGAAUAUUGGACAAUGGGCGCAAGCCUGAGUCCAGCAAUGCCGCGUGUGUGAAGAAGGUCCUUCGGUUGUAAAGUCACUUUAAGUUUAGGGAAAGUAAAAAACUACGACUCUAAACGACAAGUGAGUACUUGACGGUAACCGACAGAAAUAAGACACGGACUAACUC
rnacentral:rRNA from 1 species